CAGUAACAAUUAAUUUAAAUCCCAUCAUUUUGCAAGUAUAGUUGGGACAUGUUUUCCAAUGUGCAUUACUUUGCAUUUAUCGACAUUGAAUUUCAACUGCCA